AGUAAAGUAAGCUAAACAAAGCUUUCGGGCCCAUACCCCGAGAAUGCGGGUGAAAACCCCGCCUUUACCUA
rnacentral:tRNA from 1 species